rnacentral:pre_miRNA from 1 species
UGUAAAACUGUACAUUGCUAUGUUUGUAAAACUUCAUUGCUAUGUUUAUCAAUGUACAGUUUUACAAACAUAGCAAUGUACAGUUUUACA